UUACGUCUCCAAUCAUCUAUCGGUCAACACGGAAGGAAAUCUUUGCAAUUUUAUUUACACUUUGUGGCAUAGUACCUGGAAAGUGGAAGUAUAAUUGGUCUGUUUUCGUUGAAACAAACAAAUGAUCUGUUAACAUGAUUCUAAAGAAUUGAUGACACCUCAACAAAAAUACCCACAUAUGAAAUCUUUAAAUCGAACCAAUCUAUUCAAAUAAUGUGGACGUUAUAAUAUCUCGUAUCUCGUGUGUUUAUUUUUUGUUUGGAAUAAACCAGAAUCUCGAAAAUAAAGAUAAUGUCUGAUCUAUACCAGCGAGAAAGCCAAUCGCAUCGUACAUAUAAUGUCCGAUCUAUACCAGCGAGAAAGCCAAUCGCAUCGUACAUAUAAAUGGUAGAGUACAAAUACUUCCCAUGGACCGUAACGCACAGGCUAAAGAUAUGGGAGAUAAUGACAACCCGGGCAAGGCGUGGGCCACCCGACUGCUUGGUGGAAUUGACCAAUAUGAUAAUAACGCAUUAAAACAACAGGAAGAUAAUGACAACACAGGAACAAAAUGGGCUCGUCAUUUUCGUUAUAGUGAUCAGUCCGUUGAAAUGCCACCCGACUUGGACGUUAUAGAGAAAAAGCUGCAACAACCAACCGCUGACCAAACAAUAAAGUCGACAAACAAUAACGCUGAUAUGAAAUCUGGUUCAGAAUGGGCACGUCAAUUUAUUGGUAUCGUUCCACCUGAUAAUACAGCAAAGCAGCGCGAAAUAGAUGACGAUUAUAACCAACACGACACUACUAACAGUCCCGUUAGAACACAACGUGCUAAUGAUGAUAUAAACAUUCAGAGCCAGUCAAAGCAACACAGUUAUAGAGAUCCUGUACAUCAUGAUGGUCAAGUACAUAGUGGCCAUAGCAAGCAAAGAAGAAGCCCAAAGCAACCAUCCAUUGUUGACCGCAAAACGAACCCUAAAGGUCAGGAAGAGAACGGUAAUCCAGGCACAGAAUGGGCCCGUCAAUAUACAUGUAAUGACAAACACUUGAAGUGAUAUGCUACAGCGAAUGAAAAAGGAAGGAAACCUGCAUUGGUUCCUAAAUGAAUAUCAAAUCUCAUCAUGAAAAUGAAAAUGUUUUUUUUUAAUAUAUUACAUUAAAUAAUCUUGUGUCUACUAUAUAAAUAAUAAAAUAACAUAUGAAUGUCUAAAGCAACGUUUUUUAAGUGCUCAUGUACAUUUCUUCUAUACCAAUUAUAUUACUGCAGAUCUUUAAAAUGUUGGAGAAAAAGAGUAAAGGUUCAGAAUUUUACAAGACCACAUGUUUUGCUCAUCAAAAUAAAUGAGUUGUUUCAUUGGCCUUUUUGUAAAAACUUAUCUACAAAAUUUGCUUAGGAUCACUUUUUAUUUUCAGAGUAUCUUCAAUUUUGGAUAACGUUCAUUUUAAAUUGUUAUUUUGCAGGUUUUGAUAUUAGAAUGUGUGUUUUUGAUUUUAUUUUUAUGUAUUGAUUUAUCAUUGAUGCGUGACGCCGACUGAAUCUAGCUAGGGGUGAACUUCAAAUUACAUGUACAAAAAAGUGAUCCUUAGCAAAUUUUGAAUUUAUAUUUGUAAAUAAAUCUAUUCACACUCA